GCAAACGUGCCAAAACUGAGGCUCCCCUGAUAAAACAGUGCUUGGACAGGGGAUCUCUUGGAAGUCAGAGGGAAGGAACUGUUUUAGGCUGGGGGGUGGGCUAGAAGGACUCUGUUUAUGUUGGGAAGAAGACAGAACAGAAGAACGAGAUUUCAGAAGAUUUCCAUAAGCCCCGGAUCAUCCAGAUUGUCUCAGAUGGAAGCCUUGAGUACUAUAAGCUGUGUUUAAAUCAAGGCUUCAAGACAUGUGAAAUAUAUAGUGCUCCAAUUCAGCAUGUAUCUUAGUACUCAGGAAGAGAGCCUGCUGCUCAUGUUAUUGUCUACAAGAUGGAUUGUGCUGAUGCUCCUUCAAGCUGUGAUUGAAGAGAAACCUGUCGUGCACAUACAGACACCCGAGCAUAUGCCAAACUAUUCCUGGAAGACUGAAAUGCAGGAUGAGAGAUGUAAUCCUCCAAGAACUUUCAGGAUUCUGUGAAGAAGCUGUUGAAGCUGGUGGUUCCACAGUCAGAAAUGUUGAAACCUGAGUGUGUCAUUUUAAGGUGGUGUUUCCAAGAUGAGGAGUCUUUUUCCUGCCAUAAUCUGACCGCUCCCUACUACUGUGUGCAGGAACCAGCUGCUCAGUUGCAAGGCAGAGACUGUGCAUGCAGCAUCAAAAAAUGAGCUACAUUCAUGGCUAUGGCCACUUGUUUCUUUGCACUUAUCACAGUUGUUAGCAGUGUUUGGCCUCUUAGCCUUCUGAAUUUUGUUAGUCAACCUAUGGUUUGGUGGUGUGUUGUAGAAAUGCCAAAGUCCAAAUAUAUGCUGUCCUUAAUCUG
rnacentral:lncRNA from 7 species